GUGGAACCAACACUUGUGUGGAGGAUGUAGGAUGGCGGGAGCAGGAGCAGGUGAUCGUGACCAUCUCUUCCAAGGCCACAGAGACUGCCUGUGGUUGACUCAGCCCAGCAGUGACCACUGAACCGCAAGAGGAGAGGAGAAGAGAGAAGAGGAUGAUAUCACCAAAAACAG